AGAUGUGAUAAAUCACAGAAUAUCCUGAACUGGAAGGGACCUGCAAGGACCACUGAAGUCUAACUUCUGGCACUGCCUAGGCCAGCCCAAGGAACCACACCAUGAGCUGAGUUCACUGUCCAAAUGUUCCUUGAACUCAGACAGACUUGCUGUGACCACUUCCCUGGGGAGCCUGCUUCAGUGCCCAACCACUCUGUGGCUGAAGAACCUUUUCCUAAUACCAGCCUAAGCACCCACUGACACAACUUUGGGCCAUUUCCUUGGAUCACUGAAGAGAAGAGGUCAGUGCCUGCCCCUACUCUUCCCCCCAUGAGGAAGUACAGCUGCGGUGGUGUCUCUCCUCAGUCUCCUCUUGACUGAGCAGAACAACUGACCUUAUCACUCCUCUUAUGACUUCCUCUUUAGGUCCUUCACCACCUUCACCAUCUUCCCAAUCAACACCUUUGGAUACUUUCUAUUAGGUUUACAUCUCCAUUCCAGUGCCCAGAACUGCACACAGGACUCAGACGAGGCCGCAGAGCAGAGGGGGACAAUCCCCUCGCUUGCCUGGCUGGUGGUGCUGUGUCUGGUGUCACCCAGGACACGCUUGGCCCUCCUUGCUCCAGGACACUGCAAACUCAUGCCCAACUUGCCAUUGACCAGAACCCCCAGGUCCCUUUUCACAGCACUGCUCUCCAACCUCUCAUUCCCCAGUCUGUCCGUACAUCCAGGGUUGUCCCAUUCCAGGUGCAGAAUCUGUCACUUGUCUUUGCUAAGCUUAUUACAGCUGGUGAUUUCCCACACCUCUGAUUUGUCCAGGUCUCUCUACCUUCUAAAGAGUCAACAGCUUUUCCAAAUUUUCUGUGAUCUGUAAACUUAGAAACACUUCAAGUCUUUCAUCCAGGUCAUUAAAAGAAGGUGUUGAAGCCCUGAGAUGGAGCUCUGCAUAACCCCACUAGUGACAAGUGCUAGCCUGAUGUAACUCCAUUUAUUUUAACACUUUGUGCCAGUUGUACACCCAUUACAUUAUGUACUUAUCCAAGAAAUGCCUGUUUUCUCAAGUAUGUGAAUCCAAUAGAGGUAACAAAUCAAAAAAAUCUAAGAAGCCUCUCAAUCUGACUGCAGUGCCCCUUACACUUCUUAAGUGAUCUGUUUCCAGUUAUUACACUUAAAUCUCUCAUUUAGUUAGAAAUCAGUAUUCUUCAUUUUAAUGCAAACAUGUAUGCAGAGAUGUUAAUCUUCAGUAUUCUUUCUUCUCUGAAAUUACUGAAGUACAUUUGGCAUGACAGCCUUAUAAUGUCUGUGUGUUGGUGGUACCAACAAUAAAACAUUUAUGAAUAUGGGUACUUCUGUUCUCUGCAGCUCCAGGAUAUACUUGUUAGGAAAUAAUUGCAGACCUUGCACAGGUUUUAUUGUGCUCUUAUUUAUUCUCACACAAACUAUUGGUAUUGAAACAUUUGCUGUUCUUUUUUUUCUGUACAAUUAUUGUCUGAAAAUACUUACAAGUUUUAUCUGUCUUAUCUGUGAUAAUCCCAGGAGGAAUGCAGAAACUGAGAGCAACUGCCACCCCACUGGUCUUCAACAUCCUCAUGAGGGGAGGUGGAGGGGCAAGUAUGACCUCUGCUUUCAUGACCACUGACACAGCUCAAGGAAAUGGCAUGAGGCUGAGUCAUGGUAUAGGCUGGAUAUCAGAAAAAAGUGUUUCCUCCAGAGGAUGGCUAAGCACUAGAACUGGCUCCUCAGGGAAGUGGCCACAGCACCAACCCUGACAGAGUUCAAGAAGAGUUUGGACUGUCGGAGUCCAGAACAUUCCUCUGGCUGCCCUGGAUGUCUCGAGACCCUGGCAGGGGGCUUGGACACCUUGGCAAGAAGUCAAAAACACUUGUGGCUUCAAUUUUAACCUGUGGGAGAGGCUGCCGACUCUAUAUGAGGAAUUAUAGCCAAAAGGGUUUGAGUAGUGUAGUAGGUGAAUUGAAACAGGGUGGGCAAAUAGAAUUUUGGGGAUUUUAGAAUAUAAUUCAGGGGUACAAGAUGGAGGAAUCUGGGCAUGUCUUAGCCUUUUUCUCCUUCUUCUUGUCCUCCAUGUCUUGGUAUGUUAGUGACACUUUUCUAUUGGUUUAGGAUAGGGACACACUGUCCAACAUAGAUCUUACGUAUUGGUACGGGAACUGUAAACAUGGCACAUGUAGUUUUGAGUAUAUAAUGUGGGAGACACCUGGGACUUGGCAGAGACUGCUAUGGCUUCUGUACUAGCUGGGCCUUGGCAGGUCAGAGAGAAACUAUCAUAGAUAAGAAAAAAUAAACAACCUUGAAAACCCAACUCCAUACAUUCCAAACCUCUUCUUCGGCUGCCAGGCUAGGGGGAAAAGGACUUUCACACUGCUGGGGUCUUGCCAGCUGGCCCCGACAUUGGACAAUCUCUCAGGCCCAUGGUGUGACUCGAAGUGUCCUUCACAGGCACAGAAUUUGCACUCAAUGAUCCUGAUGGGUCCCUUCCAACUCAUAUUCUAUGAUUCUGUGAUUCUACAUGCCAUGCUCAGUGUUUCAUCACUCUUUCUGGCCCUUGGCUCCACCAUUCUUGGAUCCAUAUUGACUCAGAUACAAAAUGAGAUGCAAAAUAUCCUUGUUCAGUUCUGUGGACUAUCUGAAAUAUCCUGUCGACAAGCAGCUAAAUUCUUUUCUCAAAAGAAACAACUUUGUGAUUCUUCAUCUGUUGCCUUUUGAUUUCCAGACAUCUCACUUAGGACUUUAGGUCUUGGCUAUAAAUCCAUGAUCUGUUUUGCCUCCAUAAAAAUAUGUAUUCUAAUGAUGGGAAGAUUUGCUGUCCCACAUGAAUUCAUAUCAGAAGCCUUUCUCCAGGGAAGAUGGGAUGCUGAGUGAUCUUCAAGCUGAAACAGAUGAACUGCAAAUGCUGAGGAAGGCAUGCCAACCUUUUAAGACUGCAGCAAGACUUGGAAGGAACAGAAUGAGACUUACUCAAAAAAAGCAAUCUGAGACUUUGGACAUUUAGAGUCUUCCUUUAGGGAGAAGCCAUCAUAGACUUACAAAAUGUGAGUGUGUAUGAGUAAGAUACAAACCCUGAUAUAGUCAAAUUAAGUUGCUUAUACUUAUAAAUUCCUGAAUCAUCUUUACUACUCAAAUUCAGACUCUUUUUCAGCUCAAAGCUCAAAACUUCUACAGUAGUUCUGAUACUUGAAACGGUCUUGAAUGUAAAAUAAUUACUUGGUGCAAACAAUUUUGCUGUGUGUUUUCUCUGACUUGAGAAUGGAUGAGGAAGUGUACUGAUGCUACUGCUUCAUAUACCUUGUUGCACUAAACAUAUUGUAUGGUUUCAGAAAUAAACACAAUUGUAUUA